rnacentral:rRNA from 1 species
GGUUGAUCCUGCCAGUAGUCAUAUGCUUGUCUCAAAGAUUAAGCCAUGCAUGUCUAAGUAUAAACUGCUAUACUGUGAAACUGCGAAUGGCUCAUUAAAUCAGUUAUAGUUUAUUUGAUGGUACCUUACUACACGGAUAACCGUAGUAAUUCUAGAGCUAAUACGUGCGCACACCCCGACUCCUGGAAGGGGCGUAUUUAUUAGAUAAAAGGCCGACCGGGCGCAAGCCCGACUCACGGUGAAUCAUGAUAAACGGACGGACCGCAUUGCUUCAAGCUGGCGGCGUUUCAUU